rnacentral:rRNA from 1 species
GUCCACGCCCUAAACGAUGAGUGCUAGCCGUCGGGCCAUUAGGUUCGGUGGCGUAGCUAACGCGUUAAGCACUCCGCCUGGGGAGUACGGCCGCAAGGUUAAAACUCAAAGAAAUUGACGGGGACCCGCACAAGCGGUGGAACAUGUGGUUUAAUUCGAGGCAACGCGAAGAACCUUACCAGGCCUUGACAUGCUUGUCGCGAGCUCCAGAGACGGAGCUCUUCAGUUCGGCUGGACAAUGCACAGGUGCUGCAUGGCU